GUAGGUGAACCUGCGGAAGGAUCAUUAACACGUAUCCAUACGUAUUAUAUACCAAACCGUGAACCUGUUUGUAACAAUUGAAGAUUGGAGUACGGGUCAAACCGAAUUUCAGUCUGUAUCUUAUUACAAUCUAUAAACCACUUGUAACCAGUCGAACUAGACCUAAGAAUGUGAUUGCUUGUCAAUUACAAUCUGUAUUUACGAAACGUAAAAACAAUUCUUAGCAACGGAUAUCUUGGUUCUCGCAUCG
rnacentral:misc_RNA from 1 species